UCUGUUGGCAAGAAACGAUACAUUAAUAAAUAGGCGUGCCAAAUAAAUAACAUUGCUGUGUGAACUAAAAACUAUAAAAGUUUCAGUUUUCUCGCAUACAAAGUGGCGCCUCUAGCGGAAACUAUCAUGAAACUUUUGACAGAUAAUCUAUGCAGGUGACAGAAGAAAACAAAAAAAAUUUCGUUUACGUAAAUUGCAAAACCCGUACUAGAGGCCCUGAUACAGGAUGUGCUGCACCAUGAUUUUAUUUAUUUGGCUUUCCUAUGCAUUAUGCUGGUCUUCAGUUUCAAUAUCAUUUAAACGACUUUAUUGUUUUAAAAUAAUGUAUUUCUACACUUACCUUCUCAUUAUAGAGGCAUGGCCCGGGGGCAGCGGCGGUAUUCCCGAAAAAAUAGGAAAGCUGAAAUUUAGAAGAAAAAAAAUAUUAAAUAAAGAUAUAAGAAGAGAUGUAAGAAGGCAAGCUGACAAUGGGAUGGUAUGUCUGCAAAGCCAAUCAUAAAGAACCAAAUAAACUGCUUAUGGGCUUAUGGUUAUAUUAAACCGAUUGCAUGUAUCUAUAUACUCUAAGCAUGUAUCAUAUUUGUUUUCUCAGCCUCACACUUUAACUCAGGUUCGCUGAAGCAUCGGCAAGCUGAAUGUGAGAUGGUAUGUUGAUGUCCUGUACAUUGACACGGAAAUGAGGCAUUGAAGAUGUUAUGUUGGGGACAAUGCAUGAUAGAACAG